GAUGAACGCUGGCGGCGUGCCUAAUACAUGCAAGUCGAGCGAACAGAUAAGGAGCUUGCUCCUUUGACGUUAGCGGCGGACGGGUGAGUAACACGUGGGUAACCUACCUAUAAGACUGGGAUAACUUCGGGAAACCGGAGCUAAUACCGGAUAACAUUUGGAACCGCAUGGUUCUAAAGUGAAAGAUGGUUUUGCUAUCACUUAUAGAUGGACCCGCGCCGUAUUAGCUAGUUGGUAAGGUAACGGCUUACCAAGGCAACGAUACGUAGCCGACCUGAGAGGGUGAUCGGCCACACUGGAACUGAGACACGGUCCAGACUCCUACGGGAGGCAGCAGUAGGGAAUCUUCCGCAAUGGGCGAAAGCCUGACGGAGCAACGCCGCGGGAGUGAUGAAGGGUUUCGGCUCGUAAAACUCUGUUAUUAGGGAAGAACAAACGUGUAAGUAACUGUGCACGUCUUGACGGUACCUAAUCAGAAAGCCACGGCUAACUACGUG
rnacentral:rRNA from 1 species